ensembl:lncRNA
AUUUUUAUUAGGUUAUUUUAUCAUUGUGGACAUACAGUAAAGAAAAUAACAAACAGACAUACAAAUGGGUCUAUAAUUCUUGCAGUAUUCUUUGUUUUUUCCUUCUUUGGGUAAGAUUGUUAUAAUAGCUUCUCCCCAUGAUGGUGGAGCUAUUCCCUGAUUCAGAGUCCAGUUGAAGCAAGAUAGAAGAAGUGGCUUGAGUUCUUCUUUGAAAACUUUGUAACUUUGUAGGUGUGAUCACAUUGAUGCCACAAUGGACGACUGAUCAAUGCUCCACUACCUUUUUUUUUUUUUUUUUUACUUUGAUUUUUAUUAGGUUAUUUUAUCAUUGUGGACAUACAGUAAAGAAAAUAACAAACAGACAUACAUAUAAACAAACAGAGUCUGGAGUUUACAUAUCUUUCUCCAUUUAUCACAUUGCAGAAAAAAAAAGAAAACCUAUUAUGUUAUUUCAUUUGUGUCACUUCUGAAUGUUUUCCACUUCCUCCAUAGUCUGUCGUAUUUACCUCCCAUCAGUCUAAUGUUGAGUGUUAUUUUUUCCAUCUCUGAGAUAUCCUCUACAAUACUUGCAGUAUUCUUUGUUUUUUCCUUCUUUGGGUAAGAUUGUUAUAAUAGCUUCUCCCCAUGAUGGUGGAGCUAUUCCCUGAUUCAGAGUCCAGUUGAAGCAAGAUAGAAGAAGUGGCUUGAGUUCUUCUUUGAAAACUUUGUAACUUUGUAGGUGUGAUCACAUUGAUGCCACAAUGGACGACUGAUCAAUGCUCCACUACCAAAAGGAAGCCAAGCCCUGCCACCCUUUACAACAAAACAAGGUGUGAUCACAUUGAUGCCACAAUGGACGACUGAUCAAUGCUC